GCGAGGUGGUGCUAAUCCUAGAAAAUUCUUCGUAGUCCGGAUUGGAGUCUGCAACUCGACUCCAUGAAGUCGGAAUCGCUAGUAAUCGCGAAUCAGCAUGUCGCGGUGAAUACGUUCUCGGGUCUUGUACACACCGGCCGUCACACCAUGGAAGUGGAUUGCACCAGAAGUAGAUAGUCUAACCUUCGGGAGGGCGUUUACCACGGUGUGCUUCAUGACUGGGGUGAAGUCGUAACAAGGUAGCCGUAGGGGAACCUGUGGCUGGAUCACCUCCUU
rnacentral:rRNA from 1 species